rnacentral:rRNA from 1 species
GACGAACGCUGGCGGCGUGCUUAACACAUGCAAGUCGAACGGAAAGGCCCUGCUUUUGUGGGGUGCUCGAGUGGCGAACGGGUGAGUAACACGUGAGUAACCUGCCCUUGACUUUGGGAUAACUUCAGGAAACUGGGGCUAAUACCGGAUAGGAGCUCCUGCUGCAUGGUGGGGGUUGGAAAGUUUCGGCGGUUGGGGAUGGACUCGCGGCUUAUCAGCUUGUUGGUGGGGUAGUGGCUUACCAAGGCUUUGACGGGUAGCCGGCCUGAGAGGGUGACCGGCCACAUGGGGACGGGGAUACGGCCCAGACUCCUACGGGGGGCAGCGGUGGGGAAUAUUGCACAAUGGGCGGAAGCCGGAUGCAGCAACGCCGCGUGCGGGAUGACGGCCUUCGGGUUGUAAACCGCUUUCGCCUGUGACGAGGCGUGAGUGACGGUAAUGGGUAAGGAAGCACCGGCUAACUACGU